GAUGAACGCUGGCGGCGUGCUUAACACAUGCAAGUCGAACGGUGAAGGCGGAGCUUGCUCUGCUGGAUCAGUGGCGAACGGGUGAGUAACACGUGAGCAAUCUGCCCCUGACUCUGGGAUAAGCGCUGGAAACGGCGUCUAAUACUGGAUACGAGCUGCGAAGGCAUCUUCAGCAGCUGGAAAGAACUUCGGUCAGGGAUGAGCUCGCGGCCUAUCAGCUUGUUGGUGAGGUAACGGCUCACCAAGGCGUCGACGGGUAGCCGGCCUGAGAGGGUGACCGGCCACACUGGGACUGAGACACGGCCCAGACUCCUACGGGAGGCAGCAGUGGGGAAUAUUGCACAAUGGGCGAAAGCCUGAUGCAGCAACGCCGCGUAAGGGACGACGGCCUUCGGGUUGUAAACCUCUUUUAGCAGGGAAGAAGCGAAAGUGACGGUACCUGCAGAAAAAGCGCCGGCUAACUACGUG
rnacentral:rRNA from 1 species